AGUAACACGUGAGCAACCUACCCUUCAGUGGGGGGACAACAGUUGGAAACGACUGCUAAUACCGCAUAAGACCACGAGAUGGCAUCAUCUUGGGGUCAAAGGAUUUAUUCGCUGAAGGAUGGGCUCGCGUCCAAUUAGCUAGAUGGUGAGGUAACGGCCCACCAUGGCGACGAUUGGUAGCCGGACUGAGAGGUUGAACGGCCACAUUGGGACUGAGACACGGCCCAG
rnacentral:rRNA from 1 species